UUGAAUUAGUGCCAAACCAUCAUCACGGUACAAUCCGAUGUUUUCUUUACCAAAUUUCUUAGCGAGUGUAUUUAGCUAAUGCAAAUAAACCAAUUAGGUUUAUUUGCAUUAAAUACACUCGCUAAGAAAUUUGGUAAAGAAAACAUCGGAUUGUACCGUGAUGAUGGUUUGGCACUAAUUCA